AGAUGUGAUGGCAAUCUGGCUCUGACAUCUGUCAUCCCAGUGAUUCUCACGGUUGGUGUGGUUUGGCUGGAUAGACAGACCAACGUCUCCUUCCUCCCUCAUUUCUUUCCUCACUGCAUGUUUAGUUGAAGAAUUAUUUCCACAUCCUCUCAUGGAAAAGGAUCAUUAUUUGGUCAAGGGUGCAUCAGUACCUACAUUCCACUGAUAGAACUUCCAAACAAGCUCUUAAGAAUCUGUUUUU
ensembl:misc_RNA Gm24359 predicted gene, 24359